rnacentral:rRNA from 1 species
CAGGCCUAACACAUGCAAGUCGAACGCCGGGUAGCAAUACCUGGAGUGGCGCACGGGUGCGUAACGCGUAACCAACCUACCUACAACUGGGGGAUAGCCCGCCGAAAGGCAUUAAUACCGCAUAACUCCACAGAGUGCAUCACUUCAUGGAUAAAGAUUUAUUGGUUGUAGAUGGGGUUGCGUGCCAUUAGCUAGUUGGCGGGGUAACGGCCCACCAAGGCGACGAUGGCUAGGGGACCUGAGAGGGUGAUCCCCCACACUGGCACUGAGAUACGGGCCAGACUCCUACGGGAGGCAGCAGUAGGGAAUAUUGGGCAAUGGGCGAGAGCCUGACCCAGCCAUGCCGCGUGCAGGAUGAAGGCCUUCUGGGUUGUAAACUGCUUUUCUCAGGGAAGAAAAAGGGGAUGCGUCCCAAACUGACGGUACCUGAGGAAUAAGCACCGGCUAACUCCGUGCCAGCAGCCGCGGUAAUACGGAGGGUGCAAGCGUUGUCCGGAUUUAUUGGGUUUAAAGGGUGCGUAGGUGGCCCGUUAAGUCCGGGGUGAAAGCCCACUGCUCAACAGUGGAACUGCCCUGGAUACUGGCGGGGCUUGAGUCCAGACGAGGGAUAGGCGGAAUGGAUGGUGUAGCGGUG